rnacentral:rRNA from 1 species
UACGGAGGGGGCUAGCGUUAUUCGGAAUUAUUGGGCGUAAAGGGCGCGUAGGCGGGCAAGCAAGUCGAAGGUGAAAUCCCACGGCUCAACCGUGGAAGUGCCCCCGAUACUGCUUGUCUUGAGGGAGAUAGGGGCGUGCGGAACUUCCGGUGGAGCGGUGAAAUGCGUAGAUAUCGGAAGGAACACCGGUGGCGAAAGCGGCGCGCUGGAUCUCUUCUGACGCUGAGGCGCGAAAGCCAGGGGAGCAAACGGG